AUUGAACGCUGGCGGCAGGCUUAACACAUGCAAGUCGAGCGGAGAGAGGUAGCUUGCUACUGAUCUUAGCGGCGGACGGGUGAGUAAUGCUUAGGAAUCUGCCUAUUAGUGGGGGACAACAUUUCGAAAGGAAUGCUAAUACCGCAUACGUCCUACGGGAGAAAGCAGGGGAUCUUCGGACCUUGCGCUAAUAGAUGAGCCUAAGUCGGAUUAGCUAGUUGGUGGGGUAAAGGCCUACCAAGGCGACGAUCUGUAGCGGGUCUGAGAGGAUGAUCCGCCACACUGGGAAGGAGGCACGGCCCAGCAUCCUAAGGGAGGCAGCAGUGGGGAAUAUUGGACAAUGGGCGCAAGCCUGAUCCAGCCAUGCCGCGUGUGUGAAGAAGGCCUUAUGGUUGUAAAGCACUUUAAGCGAGGAGGAGGCUACUUUAGUUAAUACCUAGAGAUAGUGGACGUUACUCGCAGAAUAAGCACCGGCUAACUCUGUGCCAGCAGCCGCCGUAA
rnacentral:rRNA from 1 species